AAUUUGAAGUGCCUGACUGGGUGGCCGGGAGACGGAGUCUCGGGGUCGCGUGCACCUGGGCGGCCAGGGAGGCUCCAGUGCCCGGGAGAAAGGCAAGAAAACUGAGGCACAGAGAGAUUGUCACACAGCCAGUUUCUUUCAAAAUGAAGAUUCACGCAGUGAUUGUAACUGUCUUGAUGAGCCAGGUUGUAGUUUACAAAGUUUUAUUCCAGAAGGAAAAAAGCCACUUCACCUAGAAAUUUUGCAAACAAAUCAACUUUUACUCUGUGAGUAAUCCAGGGCCUAUCAAGACUACAUUUUAGUUGACUGCAAGGCCUCUGAGGCACGGGAAUUCACAGCUGAGUUCUUGGAGAAGGUCCUUGAGCCAUCUGGAUGGCGGACAGUCUGGCACAUGAUGUGCUCAAGGUGCUGCUUGAGGCCACAGAUGUGGACAUUUCAGCC
rnacentral:lncRNA from 1 species